rnacentral:sRNA from 1 species
CCUGUACAGGAUCGCCACCCGUCAGCGAGGUUUCGCCCGCGGGUGCCAUACGC